AACGAACGCUGGCGGCAUGCCUAACACAUGCAAGUCGAACGAGACCUUCGGGUCUAGUGGCGCACGGGUGCGUAACGCGUGGGAACCUGCCCUUAGGUUCGGAAUAACUCCCCGAAAGGGGUGCUAAUGCCGGAUAAUGUCUUCGGACCAAAGAUUUAUCGCCUUUGGAUGGGCCCGCGUUGGAUUAGCUAGUUGGUAGGGUAAAAGCCUACCAAGGCGACGAUCCAUAGCUGGUCUGAGAGGAUGAUCAGCCACACUGGGACUGAGACACGGCCCAGACUCCUACGGGAGGCAGCAGUGGGGAAUAUUAGACAAUGGGCGAAAGCCUGAUCCAGCAAUGCCGCGUGAGUGAUGAAGGCCUUAGGGUUGUAAAGCUCUUUUACCCGGGAUGAUAAUGACAGUACCGGGAGAAUAAGCUCCGGCUAACUCCGUG
rnacentral:rRNA from 1 species